rnacentral:rRNA from 1 species
GAUGAACGCUAGCGGGAGGCCUAACACAUGCAAGCCGAGCGGGAUUUGUUGGUUAGCUUGCUAACUAACAAUGAGAGCGGCGUACGGGUGCGUAGCACGUGUGCAACCUGCCUUUAUCUGGGGGAUAGCCUUUCGAAAGGAAGAUUAAUACCCCAUAACAUAUUGAUUGGCAUCAGUUAAUAUUGAAAGCUCCGGCGGAUAGAGAUGGGCACGCGUAAGAUUAGCUAGUUGGUGAGGUAACGGCUCACCAAGGCUGCGAUCUUUAGGGGGCCUGAGAGGGGGAUCCCCCACACUGGUACUGAGACACGGACCAGACUCCUACGGGAGGCAGCAGUGAGGAAUAUUGGACAAUGGGUGAGAGCCUGAUCCAGCCAUCCCGCGUGAAGGUCUAAGGACCUAUGGUUUGUAAACUUCUUUUAUACAGGGAUAAACCUACUCUCGUGAGGGUAGCUGAAGGUACUGUAUGAAUAAGCACCGGCUAACUCCGUG